rnacentral:rRNA from 1 species
ACGUACGCUGGCGGCACGCCUAACACAUGCAAGUCGAACGAAGUAGCAAUACUUAGUGGCAGACGGGUGAGUAACAUGUAGGUAUCUGCCCUUUGGCCUGGAAUAACACGAGGAAACUUGUGCUAAUACCGGAUAAGUCUUUACGGAGAAAGCUUUAUGCACCAUUGGAUGAGCCUGCACUUGAUUAGUUUGUUGGUGGGGUAAUGGCCUACCAAGACUGUGAUCAAUAGCUGAUUUGAGAGGAUGAUCAGCCACAUUGGGACUGAGACACGGCCCAAACUCCUACGGGAGGCAGCAGUGGGGAAUCUUGCACAAUGGAGGAAACUCUGAUGCAGCGAUGCCGCGUGAGUGAAGAAGGCCCUUGGGUUGUAAAGCUCUUUCGUCGGGGAAGAAAAUGACUGUACCCGAAUAAGAAGGUCCGGCUAACUUCGUGCCAGCAGCCGCGGUAAUACGAAGGGACCUAGCGUAGUUCGGAAUUACUGGGCUUAAAGAGUUCGUAGGUGGUUGAAAAAGUUAGUGGUGAAAUCCCAGAGCUUAACUCUGGAACUGCCAUUAAAACUUUUCAGCUAGAGUAUGAUAGAGGAAAGCAGAAUUUCUAGUGUAGAGGUGAAAUUCGUAGAUAUUAGAAAGAAUACCAAUUGCGAAGGCAGCUUUCUGGAUCAUUACUGACACUGAGGAACGAAAGCAUGGGUAGCGAAGAGGAUUAGAUACCCUCGUAGUCCAUGCCGUAAACGAUGUGUGUUAGACGUUGGAAAUUUAUUUUCAGUGUCGCAGCGAAAGCGAUAAACACACCGCCUGGGGAGUACGACCGCAAGGUUAAAACUCAAAUGAAUUGACGGGGACCCGCACAAGUAGUGGAGCAUGUGGUUUAAUUCGAAGAUACGCGCAGAACCUUACCAACACUUGACAUGUUCGUCGCGACUCUAAGAGAUUAGAGUUUUCGGUUCGGCCGGACGAAACACAGGUGCUGCAUGGCUGUCGUCAGCUCGUGUCGUGAGAUGUUGGGUUAAGUCCCGCAACGAGCGCAACCCUCACUUUUAGUUGCCAUCAUUAAGUUGGGCACUCUGAAAGAACUGCCAGUGAUAAGCUGGAGGAAGGUGGGGAUGACGUCAAGUCCUCAUGGCCCUUACGUGUUGGGCUACACACGUGCUACAAUGGUAUCUACAACAGGAAGCAAGACUGCGAAGUUAAGCAAAUCCCUAAAAGAUACCUCAGUUCGGAUUGCACUCUGCAACUCGAGUGCAUGAAGCUGGAAUUACUAGUAAUCGUGGAUCAGCGUGCCACGGUGAAUGCGUUCCCGGGUCUUGUACACACCGCCCGUCAA